rnacentral:lncRNA from 1 species
UAAUUCCGGAUUAUUCAAUAUGAAGGUUGUUGUUUUUAGUAGGAAUCAUAAUCCUAACAUAUGCUGCUCUUAAACUGAGGUUUUGGAAGAUGCUACUGUAAAUGUGGUUGAUAAGGGGGAAGCUGAUACAGUAGCAUCAAAGCCCCAACCUGUGCAACAAGUUAAAGGUUGAGAUUGGACAGUAGUUAAUCGAGCUAAUACACCACCUAGCACAGCAAAAACACAAAGGAAUAGAAAUCAGGUUGUUCCAGCAAGUUCAGCAGUUGGACGAUGUGGUGAUAUGAAGAAAUCAGAAGCUCAAACGCGUUUGAAACAUUGAAUAAUGAGCAUGAGAAUGUUGUGGGGAUUUCGCAGCAUAAGGAGAUAAGUUCAAGUUCAAAAAAUAGGCAAGAUAGGUCUACAGGCAGUGCAAAAACCAGCAGAAUUCUGGUGCCAGUUAUGGAGUAGCUCACGAGCAAUCAAGCACAUAGCAUUUGUCAAGCACAUAUUAAUUAUUUGAGCAAUUAACAACCAAAUAGCAGAUAGAAAAACCUAAUUCAAAAAGAACUCUCACGGACUUUAGUUUAUAUUCCUAUCCUUAGCCCAUAAUUAAGAACGCGAACUACCUUCUCAUUUCCUACUCAAUCCGCUACCCCGAAACUUACUAAUGCUUUGGCCUCUGUCAUUCCUCCUUCAAGUUCAGAUCGCUUUUUCUAGCAAAACAUUCACACGAAAGGAUGCAAUUUUUAAUUGUACCCUGAUGAGAAGAAACUCGAGCAGUUGAUGUCGGAGGUGACAAGCAGUUUCCCUGAGCGUAACUUCCUUCCCUGACUUAGCGUUCAAAACAGAGGUGUUAGCGUUCGAAACAGAGGCCUUAGGGUUUUUUUCUUUUUUGUUUGGGGUGGGGUGGGGGGGGGGGNNNNNGGGGGGGGGGGGGGGGGGGGGGUUUAGGGAUGGAGGGAUUUGGCGGAGAUAGGGAAAAAAAGAGAGGGAAAAGUUAGGCCCGUUUUUCAUUAAUAAUACUUUUAUUUAUCGACGGGCUAUGUUAUAUUUUAACGUCCGAAUAUUAUCCCUUCUUUAAUAUUAAACUAAAAAUUAGUUUCAACAAUCGGAAAAAAAUUAAUUGCUAUAAGUAUACGUCCCUUCGUUAACAAAUAGUCGUUAUUAUAGUAUUGGCAAGAUACAUUAGUGCAUCGAUUGCGCUAAGAUAUAAUACUUAAGAACCAAGUAACUCUUUAUUCUCUUCUUGAGGUCGGAAGGGAUCCUUAUUCACAUCAAGUGAUCGAACAACUAUCGGAGUGCUUACGCUGAACUGCUAUCCUUAGUUUCUGUCCCCUACUAGUUCAUGGUGGAAUUAUUUAGAUUUAUAGAG